CCCUCGCCCUGUGGCUUCCAGGGCCCAUGCUGGACAUGGUGCUUUCCGAGCUGGCCGCGCGGCUCAACUGCGCCGAGUACAAGAACUGGGUGAAGGCGGGCCAUUGCCUGCUGCUGCUGCGUGGCUGCCUGCAGGGCUUCGUCGGUCGCGAAGUGUUGGCCUUCCACCGCGGCCUGCUUGCCGCCGCCCCGGGCCUGGGUCCCCGCGCCACCUGCCGCAGCGGCUCGCGGUGCAGCCCGCGCGCCCGCCAGUUUCAGCCUCAGUGUCAGGUGUGCGCAGAGUGGAAACAGGAAAUUUUGAAACAUCACACCAACAGAAAUGGAGACAUCCACUGGGGAAACUGCCGGCCGGGCCUCUGGCCCGUGGACGCUUGGGAGGUGGCCAAGGCCUUUAUGCCCCGAGGACUGGCAGACAAAACAGGACCCGAGGAAUGUGAUGCAGUUGCUCUUUUAAGCCUCAUCAACUCCUGCGAUCACUUCGUGGUUGAUCGAAAGAAAGUCACAGAGGUGAUUAAGUGCCGUAAUGAGAUCAUGCACUCUUCGGAGAUGAAGGUCUCUUCUGUGUGGCUUCGAGAUUUCCAGAGGAAGAUCCAAAAUUUUCUGAAUGAAUUCAAGAGUAUCCCAGAGAUUGUGGCGGUGUACUCCAGGAUAGAACAGCUGUUGACAUCUGACUGGGCUGUUUACAUCCCCGAGGAAGAUCAGCGAGACGGGUGUGAAUUUGAAGCAGGCGUUUACCUGAGCGUGAGCCAAGUAAAUGAAAUAGAAAUGGAAUUACUAAAGGAAAAACUUCAAGAGAUAUAUCUUCAAGCAAAAGAACAAGAGGUGUUGCCUGAAGAGAUCUCAAAUCAACUGGAAGUGGUAAAAGAAUUUCUAAGAAAAAACGAGGAUCUUAGAACUGGUCUUACAGAAGAUAUGCAGAAGCUAGACAGCCUCCAUCUACAGCAUCAAAAACUGGAGUCAAAGGAACCGGGGGCACAGAGACCUGAGGGGAAGGUCUGAGGCAUGUUCUAUGGAAGUCGGCAUGGCUCCUACCUCAGGCAUCCUGUUCUGUGCAAAAGGAAAAACUUACCAGAGUACUCUACCCAACCAAAACGGAAUUUUUGUUGUCUUUUCCUGGAGUUUCCUUUGACUCUUUGGGAGCAUUUAUAUAUAUAUUCAGAAGCUUGGCGUUGUGUGACCUAUACUGACCAAAAAAAAAUUAGAGGACCCGUACCUCGUUAAUGCAUUUAAUUAACAAAAUCCUAACCUGGAAAGGGCAGUUUCUUCAUCCUCAGGCACCCAGACACUGGAAUACACAUAAAGCCUCAGGCUGUGGUGUCUGAGUGUGAGUCUGGAGUCCAGAGAUAACAUUAUCUUAAAACAGACCAGAUCCCAGGAAGCAAUGUCAGCCCCUGGACCUGCCUGACUGCCUCCCCCUUGCCUUUGUUCUUGUGUGCCUAUAAAACCUUCUGACCCUUCUAGGAACGGGGAGGCGAGGCGGCCUUUGGACAGGAGUCCGCCCGUCCUCCCCGAAUGCUGGCAUUCUGAAUAAACCUGCUUUUCUUUCCA